ACUACUGUGGCCUAGUGGUUAGAGUGUCCGCCUUGGAUGCGAGAGGUUGUGGGUUCUAUCCUCAGCCGAGUCAUA